AGUGCGCCAGGCUGUGUUGAUAGCAACAAUCUCUGUUCUGCUGGCUGUACCAGCUCACUUUCUUAUGACAGACCUACAGGCUGAUAUGACAGAGACCACAGCAUGGUUAGAAGGAGUGAUAGACCAUGACCCAGAUACUGAAUGUCAAAAAUGGGCCACCCAGGCUUUGUUGCUUCUCCGAGAACAAAUAAGAAAAGAGUUUGAAAAUUCUAGCAACUAAAGCAGUCAUCACCAACUUGUGCUUCAAAAUAACCAUCAUGACCUGGGAUCUACUUGAAAAAUUUACUAAUGAUAAAUACAGAUUGUAGAUAAGA
rnacentral:sRNA from 1 species